GUAUUGUGAAAGCAAGAUGAUUCCUGUGGUGCUGGAUAAGACUCGGGGGAAUAAAUCUUGAAGCUCUAAAAUGUUCAUGUGCGUUAGUUGGAGGCAUCGAGGUAUUGUAUGAACAGAAAAACGAGGCCAAUCAUAUCUUGGAGUAACUAUGCAAGAAUCUUCUACUUUAUUGGUAGUGCUGAAGCUGUUGCUGCAGCGAAUGUGCUCAUGCACGAGCGUCGCAAAUCAACAAGAAUUGCAUCGAUGAAAUGCAUAUAUUUUCAAAAGGUUUCUUGUUCCUUUUUACAUACUUUAUUCGAUUUGUAAACAAUUGACAAGUCCAUUCCUGCCUUAUGGCAAUUGAAAAUUUCAUAUUUGCCUGA